CAAGCAAAACAUAAAAUCCUAAGUGCCUAAGGGUUCUGAGGCAAUUUCUGCAAGAUCAUGGCAAGCAUCUUCUGGAUAUUCUCAUUGACCGUAUCUUGCUUGUCCAUUCUGUCUCGGAGGAUAUUCUGAUCUUCCUUAAGGUCCUUCAAAGUCUGAAGAAUCAUGGGAACAGCAGUUGAAGACUCCCCCUGAGUCAGAGCCUGCUGGGCUUCAGCUUCUGCAGCAGCUUGAGCUUCUGCAUCUGCCAGAGCCUUAGCUUCAGCUUCU
rnacentral:lncRNA from 1 species